rnacentral:rRNA from 1 species
ACUCAAAUGAAUUGACGGGAGCCCGCACAAGCGGUGGAUUAUGUGGUUUAAUUCGAAGCAACGCGCAGAACCUUACCUAGGUUUGACAUCCUUUGACAACUACAGAGAUGUAGCUUUCGUAGCAAUACGACAAAGAGACAGGUGCUGCAUGGCUGUCGUCAGCUCGUGUGGUGGCAUGUCGGGUUAAGUCCCUCAACGAGCGCAACCCCUGUGUUUAGUUGCCAGCAUUAAGUUGGGCACUCUAGACAGACUGCCGUGGUUAACACGGAGGAAGGCGGGGAUGACGUCAAGUCCUCAUGGCCCUUACACCUAGGGCGACACACGUAAUACAAUGGUUGAUACAGAGGGAAGCGAAACCGCGAGGUGGAGCAAAUCCCAAAAAGUCAAUCUCAGUUCGGAUUGGAGUCUGCAACUCGACUCCAUGAAGGCGGAAUCGCUAGUAAUCGCGGAUCAGCACGCCGCGGUGAAUACGUUCCCGGGCUUUGUACACACCGCCCGU